GGGGGAGGGGCUGUAGAGAGGCGUAGCAAGGUUAGGAGGUUGGUAGGAGAGGAAAUGGUUAGGAAUUGUUGGAGUUGGUACUGGUUGCCCCAAAGGCCCGUGAACAGGAUUCUGGAAGCUGUAAGAAUUGAUGGAGAACACUUGAGGGACACCUGCUAUGUUCUUCUGCUGACUGUAUUCCAGCAUUAAGAAAGACUGGGAGCAAGCUAAAGUUGUAGAACUAUCAGAAUAAAGUAAGAGAUGGAAGAGACCAGAAUGUCAGAUGGACAAGUAGUUUUGCACACCAGUUUGUGAACUGGGGUUCAUCUAUGGUGAAGUUGCUACAGAUCAGCAGAGAAAUAAGAAAAAAAUAUAGUGGGACAUCAGUCUUCUCUAGCCUGGACUUAGACUCAGAAUGGAACUUACACGUUUGGUUCUCUUGGGUCUCCAACUUGCCAACAGUAGAUCUUAGAACUUCUCAGCCUCCAAAUAGCUAAAAAUUUGGAAGAUACUUUGACACUGGGUAAUGGGAAGAGGCUGGAAGAGUUUUGAGGUGCAUGCUAGAAAUAUGGACAUUAGGGGUGAUUCUGGGAAGUCUCAGACUAAAAGGAGGAACACGUUAUUAGAAUAUGGAGGGAAGGUGAUCUUUGUCAUCAAGUGGCAAAGGAUUUGGCUGAACUGUGUUCUAGUGUUUGUGGAAGGUAGAACUUGUUGAGUGAUGAAAUUAGAUAUUUAACUGAGGAG